rnacentral:rRNA from 1 species
ACCAUCUCAGUUCGGAUUGCAGCCUGCAACUCGGCUGCAUGAAGCUGGAAUCGCUAGUAAUCGCAGAUCAGAAUGCUGCGGUGAAUACGUUCCCGGGUCUUGUACACACCGCCCGUCACACCAUGGGAGUUGGAAAUACCCGGAGCCUGUGAGCUAACAGUAAUGAGGCAGCAGUCGAAGGUAGAGCCAAUGAUUGGGGUGAAGUCGUAACAAGGUAUC